CCCGCAUUAUAAUGUUUUGAAUUUUAUAAAAUUCAAAACAUGUAAAAUUAAAAAAUAUAAUGUAGCAAUAAGUUUUGUAUUGCUAUGCCAUCUAUGUGUUGUAUACCAAAAUAAUAGUGGCCUGCAACAAUAAAGUAAGUUUAGCGGAAGCUGCACAAUAAGGGGAAAGCCUGUCACUAAUGCUAAACAUGCACAGUAAGAUAAAAAUCUGUUAUCACAACAAUAGGAAAUAAAAAAUGACAAGGAAUGCAAGCAUUGGGAGAAGCUUUGAGCUUUGCAAAGUGCUGUAUAUGAAGGAAGGUACCUAAAGGUUGACAAGAACUACAAGAAGUAAUAAGAAAAACCAAUAUUUCAGAAGAUUACCAAUCCUUUCUUCCUGGCAUCUUUCAAAAACUCUUAAAAGUGAAUUUGGCAUUGACAGAUACUAAAUGGCGAUAAUUAUGUUAUAUCAGCAAAACGAAUAAUGAACAGUUUUAGUCUUCAACGGUUGAAAUUACUCAGCAAACAUGAAUUCAUUGAAGAAACUGAUUGUCGUUGCUCUAGCAUAAAGAUCGUUGCACGAUCGACCUGAUAAAAGAUGAAAUUACUUAUAUAUGUGAUUAAUUAAAAAAAGACAAUUAGUUUGUAAAUAAUCAGGUGAAUGGUAGCCUUUAUUAUAUGGCUGGUUGUGUUCAGCACAGGAUGUUGUGCAUAGUUAAUGUAACAAUAUCAGUUUUUCAGUUCCAAAAUUAAAAAUUAUGUUUCACAUAGUAAA
rnacentral:lncRNA from 1 species